UUGCAGAAUUCAGUGAAUCAUUCGAAUCUUUGAACGCACCUUGCGCCCUUUGGCUAUUCCGAAGGGCAUGCCUGUUUGAGUAUCAUG
rnacentral:rRNA from 1 species